rnacentral:rRNA from 1 species
UACGGAGGGGGCUAGCGUUGUUCGGAAUUACUGGGCGUAAAGCGCACGUAGGCGGCUUUGUAAGUUAGAGGUGAAAGCCCGGGGCUCAACCCCGGAAUUGCCUUUAAGACUGCAUCGCUAGAAUUGUGGAGAGGUAAGUGGAAUUCCGAGUGUAGAGGUGAAAUUCGUAGAUAUUCGGAAGAACACCAGUGGCGAAGGCGGCCAUCUGGACGGAUACUGACGCUGAGACGCGAAAGCGUGGGUAGCAAACAGG